UCUAGAUUAUUUUAUUUAUUUUUCUCCCAUCUCUAACACCCCAGUGAACAGCGAGUGUGGGAGAGUGAAUCAUUCGUAGUUUGUUUAUAUAGCUCCUUGUGUUGCAGUAGUGCGAAGAGCUUCAAGAACAAGGCUGCAAAUUGGUGUUCUUGCUUUGCAAUUGAAGAUUGAGGUAGGGGUUUCUUCUCUUGAGUUUAGUUUUUCUGUACCAACAUUUCUGCCAUGAUUUGAUUUCAAUAGAUGUUUUCAUCCCAUUUUUAUGCUGUUGACUCUACUUUAUUUCAAUGUUCUGAUAAUGCUUAACAUCUUUGUAACUCAAGCCAUUCAUCCAAACCAAAGAUUGAUUAUUUUCUCUAACCAUGAAUUUGACAUGUUUCAUGCAUAAAUUCCCUUGUGAUUUACCAUGGUUUUGAGUUCUUUUGAAGCUACAUAUGAUUUUGGACUUGAUUAAAUCCCUUAAUUUCUGUGUUACCCUUGCAUAUUGUUCUAAAUGAUUUUGGGAAGAUUUAAAAAUGUUCGCAGUACGUUGUCGAAGUCCCGUUUUCUAUCAUAAAUAUAAGAAUUUGAAUUUCCAAACUAGCCUUUACCUGUUUGUUAAAAUGAUCCAAAGAACAUUGAUAUAAAUAAAAAUAUGAAUGAAGUUCUUUCUUGGAUUUUCUUUACUUUAUUCUUCUCACUACCCUACAGCUUCAAAUUUAAAAGUCAAUAAUAUGCCUCACUUUACAUCAUUGGCUUGAUUCUUUGAAAUCCGUGUUUGUACAAACCAAUUUGAAAAGUGUACUGCAUUAACAUGUAAUUCAUUUCUUUAAGGUUUUCUUUUCUGUAUGUUUUACUAAAUCACCCACUACUUCGGUUACUAAUCAGUUUUGCCUCUUUAAAUUAAUCUUGCUUUUCUGGAUGCGUGUUUUCAAUCCUAACAUUUCAAAUGUAUUGAUCAUGUGCUUAUGGUUGUUGGAUUCUCUUCUCUUUUGGGCAUGGAUAUAUAUACUUCUCGGUUAGUGGCGCAUUUUUAAAUCCAAUUUUUGAUUGUAAACGGCUUACUGAAACUAGUGGACUCUACUUUAGGACCAUCAGGCCCACUGGGGCACCCUCCACCUCGGUGGCUAUCCGGAAGAUCGUUGCGGUAAUGAUGGUUGGUAACCAGAACUAUCCUGACAUUGGCACUGGCCUUGUAGGAUCAGAAUCUCGCAACAAUUAUGUCUCAGCGAAAUUAUCAAUGGUAUUGCACAAUAGCGUCGCAAAACAAUUUCAAAAAUGACGUCAGCAAGGAUCAUGAGAAAAAUGUGAUAGUCUUGC